CACGUAGGGUGCGAGCGUUGUCCGGAAUUAUUGGGCGUAAAGGGCUCGUAGGCGGUUUGUCGCGUCGGGAGUGAAAUCCACUGGCUUAACUGGUGGCUUGCUUUCGAUACGGGCAGACUGGAGGUAUGCAGGGGAGAACGGAAUUCCUGGUGUAGCGGUGAAAUGCGCAGAUAUCAGGAGGAACACCGGUGGCGAAGGCGGGACUCUGGGCCGAUACUGACGCUGAGGAGCGAAAGCGUGGGGAGCAAACAGG
rnacentral:rRNA from 1 species